rnacentral:rRNA from 1 species
GACGAACGCUGGCGGCGUGCCUAAUACAUGCAAGUCGAACGCUUCUUUCCUCCCGAGUGCUUGCACUCAAUUGGAAAGAGGAGUGGCGGACGGGUGAGUAACACGUGGGUAACCUACCCAUCAGAGGGGGAUAACACUUGGAAACAGGUGCUAAUACCGCAUAACAGUUUAUGCCGCAUGGCAUAAGAGUGAAAGGCGCUUUCGGGUGUCGCUGAUGGAUGGACCCGCGGUGCAUUAGCCAGUUGGUGAGGUAACGGCUCACCAAGGCCACGAUGCAUAGCCGACCUGAGAGGGUGAUCGGCCACACUGGGACUGAGACACGGCCCAGACUCCUACGGGAGGCAGCAGUAGGGAAUCUUCGGCAAUGGACGAAAGUCUGACCGAGCAACGCCGCGUGAGUGAAGAAGGUUUUCGGAUCGUAAAACUCUGUUGUUAGAGAAGAACAAGGACGUUAGUAACUGAACGUCCCCUGACGGUAUCUAACCAGAAAGCCACGGCUAACUACGUG